rnacentral:rRNA from 1 species
UUUCCAGGCAAAUCCGGAAAAUCAAGGCUGAGGCGUGAUGACGAGGCACUACGGUGCUGAAGCAACAAAUGCCCUGCUUCCAGGAAAAGCCUCUAAGCAUCAGGUAACAUCAAAUCGUACCCCAAACCGACACAGGUGGUCAGGUAGAGAAUACCAAGGCGCUUGAGAGAACUCGGGUGAAGGAACUAGGCAAAAUGGUGCCGUAACUUCGGGAGAAGGCACGCUGAUAUGUAGGUGAAGUCCCUCGCGGAUGGAGCUGAAAUCAGUCGAAGAUACCAGCUGGCUGCAACUGUUUAUUAAAAACACAGCACUGUGCAAACACGAAAGUGGACGUAUACGGUGUGACGCCUGCCCGGUGCCGGAAGGUUAAUUGAUGGGGUCAGCGCAAGCGAAGCUCUUGAUCGAAGCCCCGGUAAACGGCGGCCGUAACUAUAACGGUCCUAAGGUAGCGAAAUUCCUUGUCGGGUAAGUUCCGACCUGCACGAAUGGCGUAAUGAUGGCCAGGCUGUCUCCACCCGAGACUCAGUGAAAUUGAACUCGCUGUGAAGAUGCAGUGUACCCGCGGCAAGACGGAAAGACCCCGUGAACCUUUACUAUAGCUUGACACUGAACAUUGAGCCUUGAUGUGUAGGAUAGGUGGGAGGCUUAGAAGUGUGGACGCCAGUCUGCAUGGAGCCGACCUUGAAAUACCACCCUUUAAUGUUUGAUGUUCUAACGUUGACCCGUAAUCCGGGUUGCGGACAGUGUCUGGUGGGUAGUUUGACUGGGGCGGUCUCCUCCUAAAGAGUAACGGAGGAGCACGAAGGUUGGCUAAUCCUGGUCGGACAUCAGGAGGUUAGUGCAAUGGCAUAAGCCAGCUUGACUGCGAGCGUGACGGCGCGAGCAGGUGCGAAAGCAGGUCAUAGUGAUCCGGUGGUUCUGAAUGGAAGGGCCAUCGCUCAACGGAUAAAAGGUACUCCGGGGAUAACAGGCUGAUACCGCCCAAGAGUUCAUAUCGACGGCGGUGUUUGGCACCUCGAUGUCGGCUCAUCACAUCCUGGGGCUGAAGUAGGUCCCAAGGGUAUGGCUGUUCGCCAUUUAAAGUGGUACGCGAGCUGGGUUUAGAACGUCGUGAGACAGUUCGGUCCCUAUCUGCCGUGGGCGCUGGAGAACUGAGGGGGGCUGCUCCUAGUACGAGAGGACCGGAGUGGACGCAUCACUGGUGUUCGGGUUGUCAUGCCAAUGGCACUGCCCGGUAGCUAAAUGCGGAAGAGAUAAGUGCUGAAAGCAUCUAAGCACGAAACUUGCCCCGAGAUGAGU